GUCGUAGUAGCUCAGAUGGUCAGAGCGUGACGGAUUUCCGUCAAGGGCGCGGGUUCAACUCCUGCCUACAUA
rnacentral:tRNA from 1 species